AUUGAACGCUGGCGGCAGGCCUAACACAUGCAAGUCGCACGAGUGGCGGACGGGUGAGUAAUGUCUGGGAAACUGCCUGAUGGAGGGGGAUAACUACUGGUAACGGUAGCUAAUACCGCAUACCAUCAGAUGUGCCCCGAUGGGAUUAGCUAGUUGGUGGGGUAACGGCUCACCAAGGCGACGAUCCCUAGCUGGUCUGAGAGGAUGACCAGCGACACGGGAACGGAGACACGGUCCAGACUCCAGCGGGAGGAAGCAGCGGGGAAUAUUGUACAAGGGCAGCAAGCCUGAUGCAGCCGUGCCGCGUGUAUGAAGAAGGCCUUCGGGUUGUAGAGUACAUUCAGCGGGGAGGCGUUACCCGCAGAAGCAGCAACGGCUAACCCCGUGCCAGCAGCCGCGGUAAUUC
rnacentral:rRNA from 1 species